GAUGAAGAACGUAGCGAAAUGCGAUACUUGGUGUGAAUUGCAGAAUCCCGUGAACCAUCGAGUCUUUGAACGCAAGUUGCGCCCGAAGCCAUUAGGCCGAGGGCACGCCUGCCUGGGCGUCACACGUCGUUGCCCCCCCAUCUACUCCUUCGGGAUUGCGGGGGGCGGAUGAUGGCCUCUCGUGCGCCUCGUCGCGCGGUUGGCCUAAAUGCCAAGUCCUCGGCGACGCACGCCACGACAAUCGGUGGUGGCGAAACCUCGGUUGCCUGUCGUGUGUGGUCGUCGCGCAUCGAGGGCUCGAAAAAAGUGCCGGGCUUCGGCUCGACUUUCAACGCGACCCCAGGUCAGGCGGGGUUACCCGCUGAAUUUAAGCAUAUCAAUAAGCGGAGGA
rnacentral:misc_RNA from 1 species